GGAAUUCUCAAAUUUCGUGAGAGAACACAAAUGGCGUCUUUCCCGUUCGGUUAAAAACUAUUUUAUUUUUUUGCAAAAUCAUGGGGAUGUUCGACAAACUAGCGAUUUGGCUUGGCAUGAAGAGAAAAGAAGCAAGCGUGCUGUGUGUGGGCUUAGAUAACAGUGGAAAGACUACCAUAAUAAACCAUUUGAAACCCGAUAAAGUACGGCUUAAAUUUCAGUUUAUAGCGUUUUUAAUAGUACCAUUUGUUUAAUACUAAUUUUGAACGUGUCACUUUAGGCUCAAGCGACGGAUAUUGUACCAACUAUUGGGUUUAGUGUAGAGAAAUUUGCUACUCAGAG